CACGUAGGGUGCGAGCGUUUGUCCGGAAUUAUUGGGCGUAAAGAGCUCGUAGGCGGUUUGUCGCGUCUGCCGUGAAAGUCCGGGGCUCAACUCCGGAUCUGCGGUGGGUACGGGCAGACUAGAGUGAUGUAGGGGGAGACUGGAAUUCCUGGUGUAGCGGUGAAAUGCGCAGAUAUCAGGAGGAACACCGAUGGCGAAGGCAGGUCUCUGGGCAUUAACUGACGCUGAGGAGCGAAAGCAUGGGGGAGCGAACAGG
rnacentral:rRNA from 1 species